UACGUAGGGUGCGAGCGUUGUCCGGAAUUAUUGGGCGUAAAGGGCUCGUAGGCGGUUUGUCGCGUCGGGAGUGAAAACCAGGUGCUUAACACCUGGCUUGCUUUCGAUACGGGCAGACUAGAGGUAUGCAGGGGAGAACGGAAUUCCUGGUGUAGCGGUGAAAUGCGCAGAUAUCAGGAGGAACACUGGUGGCGAAGGCGGUUCUCUGGGCAUGACCUGACGCUGAGGAGCGAAAGUGUGGGGAGCGAACAGG
rnacentral:rRNA from 1 species